rnacentral:rRNA from 1 species
ACUCAAAGGAAUAGACGGGGGCCCGCACAAGAGGUGGAGUAUGUGGUUUAAUUCGAAGCAACGCGAAGAACCUUACCUGGGUUUGACAUCCCGCGCAAGUCGUAGAAAUACGAUGUGGUAGCGAUACCCGCGGAGACAGGUGCUGCAUGGCUGUCGUCAGCUCGUGUCGUGAGAUGUUGGGUUAAGUCCCGCAACGAGCGCAACCCUUUCCCUUAUUUGGCAUCAUUAAGUUGGCAACUUUAGGGGUACUGCCGGUGACAAACCGGAGGAAGGCGGGGAUGACGUCAAGUCCUCAUGGCCCUUACAUCCAGGGCGACACACGUACUACAAUGGCCAAGACAAAGCGAUGCGAAACCGCGAGGUGGAGUCAAACGCAAAAACAUGGUCUCAGUUCGGAUUGUGGUCUGCAACUCGACCACAUGAAGUUGGAAUCUCUAGUAAUCGCAGAUCAGCAGGCUGCGGUGAAUACGUUCACGGGCCUUGUACACACCGCCCGU